rnacentral:rRNA from 1 species
AUGGGAAGACAUAUGGACACAUGCAAGAAUUACAAGGACAAGAUUAAUAGGGAUCUCAUCCAAGCUACUCUAUUUUUUAGAAAAACCAAUGCAACAACAAGUGGUCUAGCAGUCCGGUGCAUUGAGUAUGAUAAGGACCUCAUCAAGGAGGUCAUGGCAAAGAUGAUUUACGUCCAUGAGUACUCAUUUAGAAUGGUUGAACAUAAAUGGUUCAACAUUCUCAUGAAGUGCUUGAAUCCAAACUAUCAACCCAUUGGAAGGAAGGCAAUAAGAGCUGAAUGCAUGAGGGUUUUCAAGAAAGAAAGGGAGUUGCUUCAAGUUGCCCUAAAGGAUGUGGACUUCAUUAGUCUGACAACCGAUUUGUGGACUAGCAACCAGACCAUAUCAUAUAUGUGUGUGGUUGCACACUUUAUAGAUAAGGAUUGGAAGAUGCAAACACGUGUUCUCUCAUUCAUAGAUUUGGAUCCUUCUCACUCUGGGCAUGUGAUUUCAGAUGCUAUCUAUGAGUGUGUGACUGAAUGGAAGAUAGAGAAGAAAAUUAUAUCCAUCACACUAGACAAUGCUUCAAACAAUGAUGUUGCGGUCAGAGGUUUGAAGGCAAAGUUUGCUGUUCGGAGAGGCAUAUGCUUGCUGUUUUUGUUGUACAUAUGUUCAUAUACUUGCUGUUUUUGUUGUACAUAUGUUCAUAUACUUGCUUCAAACAAUGAUGUUGCUUUGUUUAAGGCAAAUUAUAUCCAUCACACUAGACAAUGCUUCAAAUAUACGGUUAUAUGCUUGCUGUUUUGCACUACUAGGAAAAGGCCUACUAGUGGCGCACCAGUUUUGCCUACUAAUGGCGCACUACUGGUGCGCCACUAG